CGCGUAGGCGGUUUGUUAAGUCGGAUGUGAAAUCCCCGGGCUCAACCUGGGAACUGCAUCCGAUACUGGCAGGCUAGAAUGCGGUAGAGGGAGGUAGAAUUUCCGGUGUAGCGGUGAAAUGCGUAGAGAUCGGAAGGAAUACCAGUGGCGAAGGCGGCCUCCUGGACUGACAUUGACGCUGAGGUGCGAAAGCGUGGGGAUCAAACA
rnacentral:rRNA from 1 species